rnacentral:lncRNA from 1 species
UGUUUCCAUUGCUGUAGGAGGAGAAUACAGGGAAUUCCCUGUCUGACCUUGCUAGUACUUCAUAUACGAGAGAACGAGAGAUUUCCCAGCUGACGUUACCAGAAGCCUUCAGGAGACCUGCGCCAUGCCCCCUAGAUGCGGCAGUGCCCGGCAAUGGGCGCAGGCAGACUAGGCCAGCGGAUGCGGUCUUCCAUAGCGUCAGCGGCUACGGCGGGGCAGCUUUCCAGUGGCUAUUCUGAAAUGCCAAAGAGACACAAUGUUAGAUCACCUGGGAAAAGCCGCUGCAAUCUCUGAAUGACCAAGUCGUCCAUUCAUAUCCAUCCCGCCUAUUAUAAGAGAGAGGUUUGUGCCAGUGUUUGGACAAAAGGCGAUUGCUGCUCUCCAGCAGAGGGCAGUGCAAAAGUGCAGAGCCAGCGCAGAGCCUUGGGGCAGAGCGUCCGUGGGGGAGGAAGGUCUCCGCAGUGAAGUUUGAAGCCGUUCUSCAAAUUCGUGAAUCUGAUUUAUGUUCUUCGCCCCUCUCGGUGAGUACUUAUUACAUGGAGGUGAGUUUUUACAUGUU